AGCAGCCGCGGUAAUUCCAGCUCCAAUAGCGUAUAUUAAAGUUGUUGCAGUUAAAAAGCUCGUAGUUGAAUUUCGGGAUCAAUACGUCGGUCGUGCUUCGGUACGUACUGGCGUAAUUGAUUUCUCCCUUCUGACGAACCAUGAUGUCAUUAACUUGGUGUCAUGGGAAAUCAGGACUGUUACUUUGAAAAAUUGAGUGUUUAAAGCAGGCUCACGCUUGAAUACAUUAGCAUGGAAUAAUGAAAUAGGACGUUCGAUCCUAUUUUGUGU
rnacentral:misc_RNA from 1 species